rnacentral:rRNA from 1 species
AAAGAGCUCGUAGGUGGUUUGUCGCGUUGUUCGUGAAAACUCACAGCUCAACUGUGGGCGUGCGGGCGAUACGGGCAGACUGGAGUACUGCAGGGGAGACUGGAAUUCCUGGUGUAGCGGUGGAAUGCGCAGAUAUCAGGAGGAACACCGGUGGCGAAGGCGGGUCUCUGGGCAGUAACUGACGCUGAGGAGCGAAAGCGUGGGGAGCGAACAGGAUUAGAUACCCUAGU